rnacentral:rRNA from 1 species
UACGCAGGGGGCUAGCGUUGCUCGGAAUGACUGGGCGUAAAGGGCGCGUAGGCGGCUCAUCCAGUCAGAUGUGAAAUUCCUGGGCUUAACCUGGGGGCUGCAUUUGAUACGUGUGGGCUUGAGUGGGGAAGAGGGUCGUGGAAUUCCCAGUGUAGAGGUGAAAUUCGUAGAUAUUCGGAGGAACACCAGUGGCGAAGGCGGCUCACUGGCUCGACACUGACGCUGAGGUGCGAAAGCGUGGGGAGCAAACGGG